rnacentral:rRNA from 1 species
AUUGAACGCUGGCGGCAUGCCUUACACAUGCAAGUCGAACGGUAACGGGCCUUCGGGUGCCGACGAGUGGCGAACGGGUGAGUAAUGCAUCGGAACGUACCUUUCAGUGGGGGAUAACGUGGCGAAAGUUACGCUAAUACCGCAUAUUCUGUGAGCAGGAAAGCAGGGGAUCGCAAGACCUUGCGCUGAUUGAGCGGCCGAUGUCAGACUAGCUAGUUGGUGAGGUAAAGGCUCACCAAGGCGACGAUCUGUAGCGGGUCUGAGAGGAUGAUCCGCCACACUGGAACUGAGACACGGUCCAGACUCCUACGGGAGGCAGCAGUGGGGAAUUUUGGACAAUGGGGGGCAACCCUGAUCCAGCCAUGCCGCGUGAGUGAAGAAGGCC